rnacentral:hammerhead_ribozyme from 1 species
ACCUAGCUGACGAGUCCCAGAUAGGACGAAACGCUCAUGCUGCAU